AGUUAAUGAACUUGAAUAAGUAUAUACUUUGAAAGUAUAAUAAAGAAAUACAAAUUUCUAUUAACUU
rnacentral:tRNA from 1 species